AACAUCGGGAGAAACAUCGGCAACAGCAACGUCAGAAGUGCCUUCAUCUGGUGACAGUCCAAAAGUACUUCGAAUUCGUCAAAUAUUCUUCAAAUAUUUCCAGAAGUAGUACAACCUCGACUGGAGAAACUAUAAUUCUUGAUAGUGAUAAUAUUUAGAAUGGUACAAACCUUCUAGCAGAUGUAUCAGCCAAAGCAAAAAAACCUAAACUUUACACAACUAGUUUGUUGUCAGUACUGUUUACCGACGAAGAAAUGUGUCUUAGAUGUGUGGAACCUAAGGAAGGGGCCACAAGAAAAACAGCUCUUGACCAGAGCAAGAUCAACUUAUUAAAGAGGUGUAUCAAAGCAAAGUACGGAGAAAAGGUCCUGGACAAAGGAUGGUCAGACAUUUGUAUCAGCCUUAAUCAGAAAAAAAUUAGAAAAAAUUCAGAAAAAUUAAUGUGUGCGUUCAUAAUGUCAAAGAAAAUAUUGAGUAAAUUUGUCAUGUUUCUGCAUGUUUCAA
rnacentral:lncRNA from 1 species